rnacentral:rRNA from 1 species
UGGUGGGUUGCCUUGUCAGGUUGAUUCCGGUAACGAACGAGACCUCAGCCUGCUAAAUAGUCAAGGGUACCUUGGUACUCGCCUGACUUCUUAGAGGGACUAUUGGCGUUUAGCCAAUGGAAGUGUGAGGCAAUAACA